rnacentral:misc_RNA from 1 species
GAUGAAGAACGUAGCGAAAUGCGAUAAGUAAUGUGAAUUGCAGAAUUCAGUGAAUCAUCGAAUCUUUGAACGCACAUUGCGCCCGCCAGUAUUCUGGCGGGCAUGCCUGUUCGAGCGUCAUUUCAACCAUCAAGCCCCAGGCUUGUGUUGGGGACCUGCGGCUGCCGCAGGCCCCGAAAACCAGUGGCGGGCUCGCUGUCACACCGGGCGUAGUAGAUUUUAUCUCGCUCAGGGCGUGCUGCGGGUUCCGGCCGUUAAAAAGCCUUUUUUACCCAAGGUUGACCUCGGAUCAGGUAGGAAGACCCGCUGAACUUAAGCAUAUCAAUAAGCGGAGGA